AUUGAACGCUGGCGGCAGGCCUAACACAUGCAAGUCGAGCGGUAGAGAGAAGCUUGCUUCUCUUGAGAGCGGCGGACGGGUGAGUAAUGCCUAGGAAUCUGCCUGGUAGUGGGGGAUAACGUUCGGAAACGGACGCUAAUACCGCAUACGUCCUACGGGAGAAAGCAGGGGACCUUCGGGCCUUGCGCUAUCAGAUGAGCCUAGGUCGGAUUAGCUAGUUGGUGAGGUAAUGGCUCACCAAGGCGGCGAUCCGUAACUGGUCUGAGAGGAUGAUCAGUCACACUGGAACUGAGACACGGUCCAGACUCCUACGGGAGGCAGCAGUGGGGAAUAUUGGACAAUGGGCGAAAGCCUGAUCCAGCCAUGCCGCGUGUGUGAAGAAGGUCUUCGGAUUGUAAAGCACUUUAAGUUGGGAGGAAGGGCAGUUACCUAAUACGUGAUUGUUUGACGUUACCGACAGAAUAAGCACCGGCUAACUCUGUGCCAGCAGCCGCGGUAA
rnacentral:rRNA from 1 species